rnacentral:rRNA from 1 species
UGUUUAUUAAAAACACAGCACUCUGCAAACACGAAAGUGGACGUAUAGGGUGUGAUGCCUGCCCGGUGCUGGAAGGUUAAUUGAUGGUGUAAUCGAAAGAGAAGCUCCUGAUCGAAGCCCCAGUAAACGGCGGCCGUAACUAUAACGGUCCUAAGGUAGCGAAAUUCCUUGUCGGGUAAGUUCCGACCUGCACGAAUGGCAUAAUGAUGGCCAGGCUGUCUCCACCCGAGACUCAGUGAAAUUGAAAUCGCCGUGAAGAUGCGGUGUACCCGCGGCUAGACGGAAAGACCCCGUGAACCUUUACUAUAGCUUGACACUGAACAUUGAAUUUUGAUGUGUAGGAUAGGUGGGAGACUUUGAAGUAGUCACGCCAGUGAUUAUGGAGUCGUCCUUGAAAUACCACCCUUUAACGUUUGAUGUUCUAACGAAGAUUACGAAACGUGGUCUCGGACAGUGUCUGGUGGGUAGUUUGACUGGGGCGGUCUCCUCCCAAAGAGUAACGGAGGAGCACGAAGGUUUGCUAAUGACGGUCGGACAUCGUCAGGUUAGUGCAAUGGUAUAAGCAAGCUUAACUGCGAGACAGACAAGUCGAGCAGGUACGAAAGUAGGUCAUAGUGAUCCGGUGGUUCUGAAUGGAAGGGCCAUCGCUCAACGGAUAAAAGGUACUCCGGGGAUAACAGGCUGAUACCGCCCAAGAGUUCAUAUCGACGGCGGUGUUUGGCACCUCGAUGUCGGCUCAUCACAUCCUGGGGCUGAAGUAGGUCCCAAGGGUAUGGCUGUUCGCCAUUUAAAGUGGUACGCGAGCUGGGUUUAGAACGUCGUGAGACAGUUCGGUCCCUAUCUGCCGUGGGCGUUGGAGAAUUGAAAGGGGCUGCUCCUAGUACGAGAGGACCGGAGUGGACGCAUCCCUGGUGUUCCAGUUGUUUCGCCAGAAGCAUUGCUGGGUAGCUACAUGCGGAAGAGAUAAGUGCUGAAAGCAUCUAAGCACGAAACUUGCC